rnacentral:rRNA from 1 species
UUGACCUAUUCGACCUCAAAUCAGGCAGGACUACCCGCUGAACUUAA